UACAGAGGUCUCAACCGUUGUUCGGAUUCAUUGGGCGUAAAGGGUGCGUAGGCUGCGAGGUAAGUCAGGUGUGAAAUCUUGGGGCUCAACCCCGAAACUGCACUUGAUACUGCCUCGCUCGAGUACUGGAGAGGAGACUGGAAUUUACGGUGUAGCAGUGAAAUGCGUAGAUAUCGUAAGGAAGACCAGUGGCGAAGGCGAGUCUCUGGACAGUUACUGACGCUGAGGCACGAAGGCCAGGGGAGCAAAC
rnacentral:rRNA from 1 species